UACGUAGGGACCAAGCGUUGUUCGGAUUUACUGGGCGUAAAGGGCGCGUAGGCGGCAAUUCAAGUCAGCUGUGAAAUCUCCGGGCUUAACUCGGAACGGUCAGCUGAUACUGCUUUGCUAGAGUGCAGAAGGGGCAAUCGGAAUUCUUGGUGUAGCGGUGAAAUGCGUAGAUAUCAAGAGGAACACCUGAGGUGAAGACGGGUUGCUGGGCUGACACUGACGCUGAGGCGCGAAAGCUAGGGGAGCGAACAGG
rnacentral:rRNA from 1 species